UUAUAAAACUAGCCUAUUUACCUAAUCACCACCUCCUUUUACAAAAACCAUUUUUAAAAGUUAGUAUGGGCGACAGAAAACCUCUUAGCGCAAUAGAUAUAGUACUGCAAAGGAAAAAUGAAAUAGAAAUGAAAUAAACAUAAAAACAUAAUAAAGCAAAGACUAAAACCUAUACCUUUUGCAUGAUGGUCUAGCAAGUCCAACCCGGCAAAAAGAACUUUAACCGGAUACCCCGAAACCAAACGAGCUACCCUAAGGCAGCAAACUGAGCGAACCCUCCUCUGUAGCAAAAGAGCGGGAAGACCUUAAGGUAGAGGCGAAAAACCAAACGAGUUUGGAUUUAGCUGGUUACUUGAGAAAGAAUUUAGUUCAACUAAAAGUAAUAACCUCCACAAAAAGAAAAGCUAGUACUUUUAUUAUAAUUAACCGAGGUACAGCCCCGUUAAUAAAGGAAACAACCUAUAUAAAUGAAUAAAGAUUAUAAUUAUAAGGGGAAAAAGCCUAGUAGGCCCAAAAGCAGCCACCAUGAAAGCGUCAAAGCUCAACUUUUUAAAACCUAAAAUAACAAUAACAAAUCCUAAUUCACUAUAAUAAUCAAGUUAAUCUAUUUUUAGAAACGCUACUACUAGAAUAAGUAAUAAGGAACCUCCUCUAAAAUAUAUCUGUAACCCGAAAUGGAAAAACCACCGAGAAUUAACGAAAGUAAUAUUAACCUUUACAAGCAUGACAAUAAAACAAAUCGYUAACCCAACACAGGARUAUUUAAGAAAGACUCAAAACCAGGGAAGGAACUCGGCAAAUCUUAGAGCUUCGCCUGUUUACCAAAAACAUCGCCUCUUGAACAAUAAACAUAAGAGGUACUGCCUGCCCAGUGACACCCGUUCAACGGCCGCGGUAUCAUGACCGUGCAAAGGUAGCGUAAUCACYUGUCUUUUAAAUAAAGACCAGUAUGAAUGGCAAAACGAAAACUCAACUGUCUCCCCAGGUCAGUCAAUGAAAUUGAUCUUCCCGUGAAGAAGCGGGAAUAUAUAUACAAGACGAGAAGACCCUAUGGAGCUUUAAACCUAACUAAUUUCAAUUAAAUAAAAUUUAACCAAUGAUUUUUACAAAAGGUUUUAGGUUGGGGCGACCACGGGGAAGAAAUUAACCCCCGAGAUGAAAAUAACCUAGAAAAACACUUCAAAGUAACAAAAAAUUUGACAUAAUUGACCCAAUAAUUGAUCAACGAACCAAGUUACCCUAGGGAUAACAGCGCAAUCCUCCCAUAAAGUCCUUAUUGACGGGUGGGUUUACGACCUCGAUGUUGGAUCAGGACCCCCAAAUGGUGCAACCGCUAUUAAAGGUUCGUUUGUUCAACGAUUAAUAGUCCUACGUGAUCUGAGUUCAGACCGGAGUAAUCCAGGUCAGUUUCUAUCUGUAAACAGACUUUUCUAGUACGAAGGGACCGAAAAAACAAGGCCUAUAAUUAAUUUAAGCCUUAUCAUCAAUCUCUGAACAUAAAUAAAGAGAGGGACUGAGAAAAAGAAAGUCUUAUAUGACUU
rnacentral:rRNA from 1 species